UGGGGAAUAUUGGACAAUGGGGGGAACCCUGAUCCAGCCAUGCCGCGUGUGUGAAGAAGGCCUUUUGGUUGUAAAGCACUUUAAGCGAGGAGGAGGCUACUUAGAUUAAUACUCUAAGAUAGUGGACGUUACUCGCAGAAUAAGCACCGGCUAACUCUGUGCCAGCAGCCGCGGUAAUACAGAGGGUGCAAGCGUUAAUCGGAUUUACUGGGCGUAAAGGGUACGUAGGUGGUCUUUUAAGUCGGAUGUGAAAUCCCUGAGCUUAACUUAGGAAUUGCAUUCGAUACUGAAAGACUAGAGUAUGGGAGAGGAUGGUAGAAUUCCAGGUGUAGCGGUGAAAUGCGUAGAGAUCUGGAGGAAUACCGAUGGCGAAGGCAGCCAUCUGGCCUAAUACUGACACUGAGGUACGAAAGCAUGGGGAGCAAACAGG
rnacentral:rRNA from 1 species